CCAGUUCGGAUCGCAGCCUGCAACCCGGCUGCGUGAAGCUGGAAUCGCUAGUAAUCGCGGAUCAGAAUGCCGCGGUGAAUACGUUCCCGGGUCUUGUACACACCGCCCGUCACACCAUGGGAGCCGGAAACGCCCGAAGCCAGCGGCCCAACCGCGAGGAGGGAGCUGUCGAAGGCGGGUCCGGUGACCGGGGUGAAGUCGUAACAAGGUACC
rnacentral:rRNA from 1 species